CCUUAAAGAGAUUAUAGUGCAGAGAGGUUAUAGUGGAGGAAGGAGGGUGGUGAAGGGAGCAAAGCCUCAGAGAUUUUAUAGCACAAACAUAGUUAAUAGUGGACAAGAGCACCAGGGUCUUGCAGUGGUUUGUAAAGUGUUGUUGUUUUUAAACAGCUGUUUGGCCUAACCAACACAUCUGCAAAAUAUUGUGGCCUAAAAAUUGUUCCUCAGAUGUUCCCACUGGAUAAUCAGGAGCUGUGCACUGGCAGCAGCUGGGGAGGGGAAAUUUGGAGAAGGGCUUACAUGGACUGAGGGCAGCUCUCUUUUCUACAGGGCGUUCCACGGAGCAGAUGAGUGGUCGUGGUUUCUUCCCAGCAGAGCUAGAACCCCCGGAAAGGUACAGCGGGUGCUCUGGCUGUCACCGCAGCGCUCCAAACCUGUGGCUGAAGUCGAUGUCUUUCCUUCUGAGCAGUGACCGUCUUUCCAGUCCACAGAAGGAGCGGUUCCUCAGACCUGGGGAGAGAUGCAGAGACCUGCCGAUGAUCGGAGCUAGAAAGCGUGGGGACAAUGUCAAAGACGCUUCAGGCAGUUGCUGUGUCAAGUUACAGUCUACUGAAAGAGAACAGAGUGCAAGUGGGAGAGGAAACAGAGAGACAGCUGUAGAGGAACUGGGCCAAGGUCACCUGGUGAAUGAAGUACAGAGGCAGUGUCCGUCUGCUGUGGCGUAGCGCAGUGACUGAAUGCGUUCGCUGCUGUCGCGUUUGAGUCUUGCGAUUUCUGCAGCAGGCUUUGAUUCCUAUGGAACAGAGAGGUCAGAGAUUGGGGAAGAACUUAGUUCAAAUGUUGUUUUGUUGGUGAGUUGACAGGUGUGCAGGCAGGGGGUGUAGCUCAGUGGUAGAGCAUUUGACUGCAGAUCAAGAGGUCCCUGGUUCAACUCCAGGUGCCCCCUCUUUUCCUCUCCUUCCAUCUCCCUUUUGCCAAGAUUUCUCACAGAAAGAAGAUGGAGAGCUCUUCUGGGAUCUUGUGAGCUUGUGCUGUACAGUGCAGGUUGGUUUCUGAGCUCCAUUAUGCACGGUACUGAGGCCCUGACUAUUAGGAAACUGCAGGGGUCAUGCACUGUGUGAGUAAGAACUCACUGUCUGUGUGUAAUUGCCUCUGCUGUUGAUUCUCUGCAGUAAUUCUCUGUACAGCCUUUGGCAGGCACAGUAUGAGGCACGCGGGGCUGUCAAGCAAAGGAAUCUAACCAUUGGAUGUAAAAACUUGUCUCUCUCUGUGAAUGUUUU